rnacentral:lncRNA from 1 species
ACCACCCCUUAUGGAUAGGUUAGUUAAGGAAAGUUUGAAUUUGAUUUGAAUGAAGUUCCUUAUCUUGAUGAGAUUGGAUCUCAUCCCAACCACCUACACACCAUGCCUUGUAUUCCCUUUCUUUUGUGUGACAAAAAGGAAGAAUUCAUCAUGGAAAAUUAGAUGAGGAUUUGAUUUACUAUGCAAAUAAUUUUGUUGGUGCAUGAAAUGUAGUAAGAGGGUGACACCU